rnacentral:rRNA from 1 species
GUGCCAGCAGCCGCGGUAAUACAGAGAUGGCAACCGUUGUUCGGAAUUACUGGGCUUAAAGCGUACGUAGGCGGAACGACAAGUUGGGUGUGAAAUAUCAUAGCUUACCUAUGGUGCUGCAUUCAAAACUGUCGAUCUUGAGUGCGAAAGGGGAGAGUGGAACUCCUAGUGGAGCGGUGAAAUGUGUUGAUAUUAGGAGGAACGCCGGUGGCGAAAGCGACUCUCUGGUUCGCAACUGACGCUGAGGUACGAAAGCUAGGGGAGCAAACGGGAUUAGAUACCCCGGUAGUCCUAGCCGUAAACGAUGGGCACUAAGUAGGGGGGCAACCUCCCUGCCGGAGCAAAAGUAUUAAGUGCCCCGCCUGGGGAGUACGGUCGCAAGGCUGAAACUCAAAGGAAUGACGG